rnacentral:tRNA from 1 species
GGUUCCAUAGUUCAACGGAUAGAACGACAGUUUCCUAAACUGUAGAUUCAGGUUCGAUUCCUGGUGGAACUA